UACGGAGGGUGCAAGCGUUGUCCGGAUUUAUUGGGUUUAAAGGGUGCGUAGGCGGCUUUUUAAGUCAGUGGUGAAAUACUGCAGCUCAACUGUUAGAACUGCCAUUGAUACUGGGAAGCUUGAGUACAGACGAGGUAGGCGGAAUUGACAGUGUAGCGGUGAAAUGCUUAGAUAUUGUCAAGAACACCUAUUGCGAAGGCAGCUUACUAGACUGUAACUGACGCUGAGGCACGAAAGCGUGGGGAUCAAACAGG
rnacentral:rRNA from 1 species